rnacentral:tRNA from 1 species
GCGAGAGUGGCGGAAUGGGUAGACGCACUGGAUUUAGGUUCCAGCGCCGCAAGGCAUGGGGGUUCGAGUCCCUUCUCUCGCA